CCCCUAGCCCCCCACCUUCCUCUUCCUUCUUGGAGGUUGGUGGGUGAGGCUCAAAGUUCUAACUCUAAUGAUUUGGUCUUCCCAGAACCAGUCACAUCUAGGGCCCCACCCUAAAUUGCCACAUUAGCAUAAACUCAGGCUUCCUGGUGGUUCAUUGGUAAAGAAUCUGCCUGCAGUGCAGGAGACUUGCAGGAGACACAGGUUCUAUCCCUGGAUUGGGAAGAAAGGAAAUGGCAGCCCACUCCAGUAUUCUUGCCUGGAAAAUCCCAUGAACAGAGGAGCUUGGCGGGCUACAGUUUAUGCAGUUGCAAAGAGUCGGACAUGAAUGAGCAACUAAACAACAGAAUUGAUGCUUUUAAACUGUGGAUUUGGAGAAGACUCUUGAGAGUCCCUUGGACAGCAAGGAGAUCCAAACAGUCCAUCCUAAAGGAAAUCAGUCUUGAAUAUUCAUUGGAAGGACUGAUGCUGAAGCUGAAACUCCCAUACUUUGGCCAUCUGAUAGAAAAGAUCCUGAUGCUGGGAAAGAUUGAAGGGAAAAAAAAGUUGCUUACUCACAGAGACUGUAAUUGGUAGACCUGGAUUGGGAUCCAGAUCAGUGUGAAUCAAGAACCUGUGUUUUCACCAGUUUAUGAGCUUGCCCCAUAGGCAACAGUGCAGUCAUUGAUGCACAGAGUGAAAAAGAAGUGUGCAUUCAAAAGCUGCACAUUUCCCAGCCAUUCCUGUGGUGGGCUCUAUAGCCUGUGGAGUCGGCAGCCUGCUGAAGGACACUCAAGACGUGUGAGGCAGCACAGUGAGUUGGGGUGGAGUGGAGACAGAGUUUUUCUCUACUGUGCAAGCCUGCAUGGCAGCAGAGGAAGAAAAAAAUAAAACACCCUUCUUUGAAUGCCUGCUCUCCUUCCCUGAAGGCAAGGAAACCAUACACACCUAAACGGAAGUCUCAUGCACCAGGAAUAAGCAUGUUUUUAAGGACUCCUUGUUGAUGCAACUGACACACAGAGAAGAAAAAGGGGAAUAGACAACUAUUUGAUAUUUCUAUAUCAAAAUAAAUCAGCAACCUACCUUUCAAGCAUCAAAUUAAUACGAAACUGUUCACAAAGCAAUCUUGCCAAAAGGAGAAAAUAUCAAAUAUUUGGAAACAUUCAACCCAAAAUGAAACUGCAUGAAGUAGAAACAUUUGGACUGAGUGUUGAUUGGAAACAAAGGAACAUCUACGAGCUUUAUGGAGGUUUGAGAUCUUCAGCUCAAAGACCUUCUCCUCAGAGGUGUUUCCCUGAUCACCUGAACGAAAGCAGCCUCCUGGUUCGCAGUCAGUGUAUCUCAUCGUGUUGCUCUGUUUUACUUUUUCCACAGCACAUGUCAUCUGAAAUUAUCUUGUUUUUGUGUUUGUUUUCUGUAGCAUGUCCUUAAGUGCAGGCAUCCUGCCUUAUUUUCCUCGGUGUCCCAGCUCCUUGGCACAGGAAGUGCUCAGUACAUACUUAUUGACAAAGUGACAGGGUGAAUAUCACGCAUGGCUCAUUGGAGCUAGUUCCUCAAAACAUUUUUCAUGAUGGAAAAGUGUCAGAAAAAAAAACAUUCACUCUGUUCAGGAUUUACCUCAAAAGAAUGAUUGGAGAAUUGCCACAGUAUAGUCGUGAACAGCACAGAAACUUCAGAAUACCUGAAUGUAUCUCCUGUAGAACCUGGAAAAGCGCCUACUAAAGAUCUAUCAAGUGAAAAUUUCAGGAUUUAGUUCAAGUUUGUGCUCAUAGCAUUAAGAACGCAUUAUUUAUUUUGAAACACUCAGGCAGUGUAGCAGAAGAAUGAGAGAUGAGAUUCCUUUUAAAAUAAAUGCCAUGCUUAAAGAAUGCCUAUACUUACUAAGCUCAAAAAAUAUUUUCUUCUGUCUCCCAUGAAAGCAUAAAUCUAUUCAAAGUCUUUAAAAUGAAGCAUGGCACAUAAUUUGUUCUCUUUGGUUGCUUUAUACAACAGCACAGAGGGUGGAAGCAAAGAUGGUAGUUCUGAUUCAAACUCUGCCGCUCACUUGCUUGAGUAGAUCACUUAAUAUCUGUGCACAAUUAGAAAGGCAAUAACACCCAUCAAUAUUCUUGCCCUUCCCAGAGUGGCUGUUACACUCCAGGCAUGUAACCUGUAAGAAAGUGCUGAGUUUUAGUGCUAAAUAUUAAGAGUUGUAAGGAUAGUAAUUUUUUUUACAUUGAUGAUAAAAGGAUGUGUCAACCUAAAUAAAGAGAUAAACUGAGGCAAGCUCAAAUUACUAGUAAUUGUGUUGUGUUCACUGGUUAGGAGAUGAGUCUCAGCCUUCUGUAGAUCAGGCUUUUGGAUCUUAAGUUCAGUUUUUCUGAGGGCGAAUGCAUGAGUGUCUCCAUUUCAUAUCCUCCAGUUCCAUUUCAGAUCAAGAUCCUUUCACAGAUGUGAUAUUAUGACUUUGGUGGAGAAUGUAAUUCUAUUUCAGUGGUUAUAGCAAAGCACUUAACUGCCAGAACUAGCCAUACUGCUUGCCUUGAAGAGCAAAUGAAGUGGUAAAUGCAAGAAAUGGGGACAGAAUAGAAGCUGAAAUUAUGGAGUCAUUGCUGUGCUCAGGGGGUCAGAUCUCAGCAGUGUGUUUAUCAGAAAUUUAGCAACUGGGAAUAGAUACCUAGAAAUCUAAUUAUAAGAUCUCUUAUCUACAGUAAGAGAGCUAAAUUGGAAAAUUAUCUCCUGAUCCCUCCUACUUAUUUCCAUUAACAUUCAAAUAGUCAAUGUUUUCCUACUCCACUCGUUCUCUUCCAGCGUAUCAAGGCUUUUUCUCACACUGAAAAAUUCUAUUUUCCCUCAUGAAAACUUACUUCCUGAGCCAUCAGCUUUCAUGGUUUACAAGAAAACAGGCUAAAAUGUUAUUAUCUUUGGAUCAUAAGAUUAUGAGUAACAUUUUCUUAUUUUAUUUUUCUGUUGUACCAAAUUUUCCAUAAUGAGCAUUUAUGCUUUUCAUUGUAAGAAGAAAAACAAGGAAGCAGAUUAAUUUAGCCAACAUUACUGAAAGAGUAUUUUAUUUU
ensembl:lncRNA